rnacentral:rRNA from 1 species
UACGUAGGGGGCAAGCGUUGUCCGGAUUUAUUGGGCGUAAAGAGCGUGUAGGCGGCUGGGUAGGUCCGUUGUGAAAACUCGAGGCUCAACCUCGAGAUGUCGGCGGAAACCAUUUGGCUAGAGUCCGGAAGAGGAAAGUGGAAUUCCUGGUGUAGCGGUGAAAUGCGCAGAUAUCAGGAAGAACACCCGUGGCGAAGGCGGCUCUCUGGUACGUGACUGACGCUGAGACGCGAAAGCGUGGGGAGCAAACAGG